AUGAACGCUAGCGACAGGCCUAACACAUGCAAGUCGAGGGUAACAGGGAGCUUGCUCCGCUGACGACCGGCGCACGGGUGAGUAACGCGUAUCCGACCUACCCAUAACACGGGCACAGCCGCUCGAAAGAGUGAUUGAUUCCCGAUAUGUCUUUAGAGUAGAUCUAAUGAUGAAAGAUUCAUCGGUUAUGGAUGGGGAUGCGUAAGAUUAGGUAGUAGGCGGGGUAACGGCCCACCAUGCCUACGAUGUCUAGGGGUUCUGAGAGGAAGGUCCCCCACACUGGAACUGAGACACGGUCCAGACUCCUACGGGAGGCAGCAGUGAGGAAUAUUGGUCAAUGGUCGGAAGACUGAACCAGCCAAGUAGCGUGAAGGAUGAAGGUUCUAUGGAUUGUAAACUUCUUUUAUACGGGAAUAAAACCUCCUACGUGUAGGAGCUUGUAUGUACCGUAUGAAUAAGCAUCGGCUAACUCCGUG
rnacentral:rRNA from 1 species